rnacentral:rRNA from 1 species
UACGAAGGGUGCAAGCGUUACUCGGAAUUACUGGGCGUAAAGCGUGCGUAGGUGGUUUGUUAAGUCUGUUGUGAAAGCCCCGGGCUCAACCUGGGAAUGGCAAUGGAUACUGGCAAGCUAGAGUGCGGUAGAGGGUAGUGGAAUUCCCGGUGUAGCGGUGAAAUGCGUAGAGAUCGGGAGGAACACCAGUGGCGAAGGCGGCUACCUGGACCAGCACUGACAC